GGGGCGGUGGUCCAGCUUGGUCUAAGAUGCCGGCCUCGGGAGCCGGUGAUCGCGGGUUCAAAAUGCUUUAACAGGAAAAUCCCGCCCGCCCCA
rnacentral:tRNA from 1 species